rnacentral:rRNA from 1 species
AUCUUGACCUCCAAUC